GCCAAAAAAUUACGAAAAACCGAAGCUUACCGGCAGCCAUGCUCUCGGGUGCAGCGGCUCUCCGGCGAGGUUCGUGUUUUGGUGAUUUGGCUCCGAUCAACCUGUAGAAAAAAGAAUGGUGAUCACGGUGAUAUAAAAAUUGUAUCAAACGGAGGCCGGGAAGGGCCUCAUCGGGGACAAAAACCGAGGAGGGGUGCGGCGCCGCCGCUUGGUUUCGGCCGUGUUUUCCGGCCGUUUGGCCGGGAUUUUGGCUCCGAUUUGGCCACAAGGGAACUCAGCGUGGAAAAACGAGCCGGAGGUAUGAAAUUUACCUCGAUCGGCGGUCGGAAAACUCCCCGGUGCGGCGGCGGGUGGCGGCGGCCGGCUCCUUCGGCGUCUGGUUCAUCUUCUCCGGCGAGGGCAGGCGGCUAGGGUUUUUGUGGUCAGGUGUGGAGGUUUUAUUUAUACCCUUUUGCCUUUUGAUCACAGCCGUCCAUUUUGAUUAAAUCUGGGCCGUCCGUUCUUGAUUGAAUCUGGGCCGUUCGCGCGCGUGCAUCUGGGCCGUCCGUGCGAUUGCAUCUGGGCUGUCCGUGCGCAUGCUUGAUCUGGACCGUCCGUGCGCGCGGGGACACAUCUGGGCCGUCCGAUCGCGCGCACGCGGAUCGCCUGCGUGGCCCGUUCCCGGGUCGACGUGGUCUUGCCACGCGGCAGGACCUGGUUGGCCAGGGCUGCUGACUGGGCCGCUGACGUGGCUACUGACGUGGCUGCUGACGUGGCGCUGACGGGGCAAUACUUUUUUAAAUUGCGUUUUGACCCCCGGUUUCCGAUUUUCUUUUCAAAAAUACCCCCAUAAUCUAAAUUUUCACCCACUUUUAUAAUUAUUAUUAUUUUUAUUAUUAUAUUAAAUUAAUUUAAAAUAAACUAUUUAAAAUAAAAUAAAUAAAAAUAAAAAUAAAAUUAAUAAUAAUAAUAAUAAUAAUUUAAAAAUAUUUGGGCAUUACAUAUAUAAGAAGUAAAAAUAUGUAAUUAGUAUAUUGAUAUAGUUGUAGUUUGAGUGUAGGAAUUAUUUGGUUGUGAAGUGCAAGGUAAGUUUAAAGUAAAGGUAAUAGGUCGAAUCAAUAUAUUAUCUAUAAUAUCUGGAUUAAAGUUUUGAAUUAUUCUUGCUGAAGCUGUGAUGUCUCACUCAUUUUUAUCAUUCCAUAAAAGAAAAAACAAGAGCAAGUUCAAGGUCCAAAUGAAGACUCGAAAGAAUCUUUUUAUGACUUUCGGAAAAUUGCUAUAAAGCGAGUCUAAAAUUUAUAGUGGUCAUAUUAUUAAAGAUUUUAUGUGAAUCAUGAAUUAUAACUCUGUACAAAGAAUAUAUGAUUGAGUUUUUAAAUUCUAGCAUUUUAGUGCACUAUUUACCAAAUUACAUGACAAUGCUAGAAGGUGGGUCGUUAUACGUUUA
rnacentral:lncRNA from 1 species